GCUCCAGUGGCGCAAUCGGUUAGCGUGUGUUACUUAGACUGACGAGCAAUGCCGAGGUUGUGAGUUCGAGCCUCACCUGGAGCA